rnacentral:rRNA from 1 species
CAGUGGCGAACGGGUGCGUAACACGUGGGCAAUCUGCCUUAAAGUGUGGGAUAGCUCGGCGAAAGCCGGAUUAAUACCGCAUGUGGCUACUGGAGACAUCUUCGGGACGCUAAAGGUGGCGCAAGCUACCGCUUUUUGAGGAGCCCGCGGCCUAUCAGCUUGUUGGUGAGGUAACGGCUCACCAAGGCGUUGACGGGUAGCUGGUCUGAGAGGACGACCAGCCACACUGGGACUGAGACACGGCCCAGACACCUACGGGUGGCAGCAGUCGAGAAUUUUUGACAAUGGGGGAAACCCUGAUCGAGCGACGCCGCGUGGAGGAUGAAGGUCUUCGGGUUGUAAACUCCUGUCAUUUGGGAACAAGGCGUACGUAUUAACUGUACGUGCGUUGAUAGUACCAGAAGAGGAAGAGACGGCUAACUCUGUGCCAGCAGCCGCGGUAAUACAGAGGUCUCAAGCGUUGUUCGGAUUCAUUGGGCGUAAAGGGUGUGUAGGUGGCGCGCUAAGUCGGGUGUGAAAUUUCGGAGCUUAACUCCGAAACUGCAUUCGAUACUGGCGUGCUUGAGGACUGGAGAGGAGACUGGAAUUUACGGUGUAGCAGUGAAAUGCGUAGAUAUCGUAAGGAAGACCAGUGGCGAAGGCGGGUCUCUGGACAGUUCC